UACGGAAGGCAGCAGUGGGGAAUAUUGCACAAUGGGCGCAAGCCUGAUGCAGCCAUGCCGCGUGUAUGAAGAAGGCCUUCGGGUUGUAAAGUACUUUCAGCGGGGAGGAAGGCGAUGUGGUUAAUAACCGCGUCGAUUGACGUUACCCGCAGAAGAAGCACCGGCUAACUCCGUGCCAGCAGCCGCGGUAAUACGGAGGGUGCAAGCGUUAAUCGGAAUUACUGGGCGUAAAGCGCACGCAGGCGGUCUGUUAAGUCAGAUGUGAAAUCCCCCGGGCUUAACCUGGGAACUGCAUUUUGAACUGGCAGGCUUGAGUCUCGUAGAGGGGGUAGAAUUCCAGGUGUAGCGGUGAAAUGCGUAGAGAUCUGGAGGAAUACCGGUGGCGAAGGCGGCCCCUGGGACGAAGACUGACGCUCAGGUGCGAAAGCGUGGGGAGCAAACAGGAUUAGGAUACC
rnacentral:rRNA from 1 species